rnacentral:lncRNA from 1 species
CCCCUUGGCUCUCUAACUUUAAUUUUCAUUUUGUAUUUAUUUUUAUUGUAGUUUUCAAUUUAAAUUUUCAUUAGAUUUAAAACAACUAAAACACAAUUAAAUAUUAAAAUUAACCCUACAUUGAUUGAAAAUUAAAAUUGCGAUACAUUUAAAAUAAUUAAAGUCCUAAAUUACUUUUAAAAAAAAACAUAAAAUAAAAUUCUAGAAUCUAUGGGAGAUUGUUGCGUUGUUUGAUUUCUGCCACCUUGGCCAAGUGAAACGUCAACUCAUCGGGAUUCAUUUGAGAGGUGCCCCUACUAAUCACAUACCGAAAUAACUUUAAACUUGCUCUUAGAGCUAUAUAUUGAACUUGCCAUCUCAAGCAUCACACAUGAAUUUUAUUUAAAUAACCUGUGAAUGCAAAGUUGUAAAAUUUUUCUAUAAUCAUCAUAACAUCAUAUACGUGUGCAGACAAUUAACAUGUAUGUACCAUAUCUACACAUUAUAUAACUCUGAGGGUUGAGAAGUAGGCCUCCUUCUCAAACACGACGACAAGCUAAUUCAAAGCUUAACUGUCAACUCUAUGUACACAAAUCCUAACUCACUCAGGACCCGAAUUCGUUGUUCUAUGUAGAUGGUAACAUACAAAUCUCAAAUAUUAGCAAGUCAAUAAUUCGAAAAUAAAUGCAUACACUUAAACUUCAUAUCAAAAUAUGUAUCUUUAUUUCUUGAGUUAGUGAGUCCACCUGAUAUGCUUAAUGAAAUAGAAGUCCUUGCUUGUUCACUCUAUACUGCCACUCGAACCUUCAUUAUAAUGAGGUUCCCAAGGUAAGAUUGGAUAUAUAGACAAGAAAUAACUAGAAAAGAAUUCAUGAUUGAAACUUCUAUCUCUUGAAGCUUUAGGGUUGCAUCCACUAGUUUAAAUAAACUGCUUUUGUGAAUUUAACUAAACUAAAAGCAUAUACUAACAUUCCAUCUCUUGGGACAUCUCAAGUUAAGAAAGCUUAAAAGUAAACUAAUCCAUCCUAUAUAGAUUAGCUUACAAUUAAUAACUAAAACAUCAAUCACUUAGCAUAGUUCUAUUCAUAACUAUCUCAAGUAAGUAAUCUCAAACAUGUAUUCAUAAAUGAAUCUCAAGUUUGAAAAAUCAUAUAAAAUCAAUCUAUUCAAAGAGAAAUACAAGUUUUACCUUUUUAGAAAACCAUUAAAGUCUAUAUUUAUCAGGAAUUUACAAAAACACAAUAUCUCAAGUGUAUAAGAAAUUAUAUCUAGAAAGGCAGAAUCUGCCAUUGAACUACGCUGCUUCACGCAGUACAUUUCAGAAAAUCGUUUGACACAUCUAAGGGUGUUGGAUUUAGCUGAAAUUUUGCAGACACGUACUACUCAUGAUGAAGUUAUUACUGUAAAAAUUUCAAGAGAUUUGAACCCUCAAAAGUACCCCUCAAUACCCUAUCCUGUACAGCCAAGAACUGACAGCAGGGGCAUCUCUUGCUUCAACUCAACAAAAUACAUAUCUUGACUAAUUAAAGAGAUGUAGGGCUCAAAUAUACAUCAUCUUAAUACAUAUUAGCAUGCUUUACCUUAAACUUAAUUCAUGUUCAACACAUCAACAUAUAGUAGCAUGCUUGAUAUCCCCCAAUUACUAUCAUAUAAUCUCAUUUUACAACUCAAAGAGUACAAUUACACAAACAUCAACAUGUAGCUAUCUUAUAUCAAGAAUUCCCAAAUCCAUUGAAACUAAACUAUUAGAAAAUCAUGAUUUCUUGCAAAUAAAAACUCAAAUAAAUCUCAAUGAUUCCCUCACAAACAUAUAAAUAUAUAUACGUUGUCAAUUGAUGGAGAUAAAGAAGAUGAAAUUCUAGGGUUCUUGAGGGGGUCAAAAAUCGAAGCUUUGGGGUAGGGUUUUGAUUUCUUUCAUCAUACUACUUAAUUCUAAAUAAUUACUAACUUGAAACAUGUAGUAAUCAACAUGAUACAAGAGCAAAUCAUUUUUGUAGUAGCCCGCUCUUUUAUUUAUGAUAAAAAACUAGUAAAUGCAAUUUUUAUAAAUGAAUCCAGUUUAUGGUCCUGAUUUUUUUUUUAUCAGAGACGGAGUUAUUAUUUUAGCUUUAUACUUUUAUAACGUAUAAGAAAAACGCGACGAGGAUUAUUGAGCCAUUCAAUAAUUUAUUAUCCAGUUUGAUAACUGACUUAGCAAAGUCAAGUUAUUAAUUUAUAUGCGAUAGAAAUAGUAUUUCUAUUAUUUACUUGAAGUCGUGAUUAAUUUUCGACUUAUAAAACGAAUUAUAAAAUAUGUAAUUCGUAGAGAGUUAUAACGAAGCGUCGUUAUUUAGUAGAACCCAAUAUUAGUUUUACAAAUACUUGUAACUUCAAUACUUUACAAAUCAUUAUUUUUCCACUCCCUAAUGUUUCCUACACUAUAUACGCAUCCACUCCACCAAAUUACAUCAUACCUACCUCCCCACCACUACUUUACUUUUCCCCCACCACAUUAGUGCACCACCAUCUCCACUACCUAUGCUCCCCACCAACUUCAAAAAAACUUCACCCAUUCCUUCCAUUUCGCACCAGCAAUCACAAAGAGAAGGAAGACUUGGCUUAACUAUUUUGCCAAGAUUUCAAGCUGCUCCAGUCCAGUAGUACCCCAACACUCCGGCAGUGUUUUGCAAGGCGAUUUCAGCAAUCCAAACGGUUCCCAAAAAUUCUCAAAUUAAUUGUGUAUCAUCUUUCAUAUGUUUUCUAUACUUUGGUAAAAUUUCAGAAGGUUUGAAGCUCUUAUGAUUUAUUUAUGAAUUUGUAAACAUCACUGCCCAUCUGGAAUACAUUUUUGGUAAACAAUCUUUGGGAGGCCAUAAGUAAAGUUUCAAUCGGUGAAAACCUUUGAAACUUGAAUAUGUCACUCUAGACUCCCGUAUCUUUCUUUUGAAANGGCCGGUCGUGACAAUUUUCUUCUCCAACAGCCUAUUUUUCGAAAUAACAUAAAGAAGACACAUGAGAAUUUCCUUUAAUUCCACUAUCAAUAAGGUUUAAUCCAAGAGCUCUUACCUUAGAUACGUUCUUGAAGCUUGGCUAGAAAAGAGAAAAACACAAAAUGAAGAACAGGGGAAGGGACAGAGGCUUGCAGGGGAAGAAGAAAAUAUUUGGCUUUUCUCAUGAGUCUUGUUUGGCGGCUGCCCUAACAAGAAUUAAAUAUAAUUUGGAACAUAUAAUUCCUUAAAGC